CAGACCUCAUUUAAGGGUUGGCAGUGGAGGCAAUGGUAUUCUGCUGGAGAUCCCUGUGUAUCUGAGGCCUUCCAAAGGUCAGGCCUGAGAUACACACAUCCUUCCCUGGGCGAUCACAGAAUCAUAGAAUUGUCUGCAUUGGAAGUGACUCUUAAAGGCCAUCUGGUCCCACUUCCUGCAAUGAACUGGGACAUUACAGCUCCAUCAGUGCUCAGAGCCCCAGCAGCCUGACCUUGGCUGUCUGCAAGGCUGGGACAUCCACCACCUCUCUGAGCAACCUGUGCCACUGCCUCACCCAGUCAAGUGACUCUAGGCUGCAGAAUCAGUGUAAGCAUGCUCUAAUCCAAGCUGGUUCCACCUGUCGUCUUCCAUGUCCUUAAAGCAAAGCAAAAAGUUGAGUUGCUUUAAUAAUACCAGAAAAGGCUAAAAAUGAAACAGCCUCAUAAAGUCUGGGGCAUGGAAAGCCUCUGUACGUGAGAGAGGAAGGAACAACAGGCAGAGCAGCCAGUGGGGGUGGAUGCUGUGCCAGAAGUAUGUCCCUUCUCAUGAUUCCCCUUGGGGUUUGAGGCAGAUACAGCCUGUGAAGUGGGGUUCUGUCUUGGACUUCCAUUAGGAACCAUUCUUCAACCAUGAAUCAUACAAUGGCCUGGGUUGAGAAGCACCUUAAAGAUCAGUUUCAGCCCCCUGCUCUGGGCAGGAUUGCUAACCACUACACCAGGCUAUUCAGAGCCACAUCUAGCCUGGCCUUGAAUGCCUAGGUGAUGCCAUACACACCUUAAGGUUACUGUGCGUGGCCAGACUCAAACUUCUGAAAGCACAGCAAUGGAGAGAUAGGGAAGGCAGGGUUACAGCCCAAACUGUAUGAGCAGGCAGUGGGCACAGCUCAGCAGAGGCAGUGCCAGAUAAAGAGGAGGAUAAAAGGAGAAGAUGCCAUUGUCUGUGGUGCACACUGGUGACGCAAUUCCCACUUGCACUGCACUCAGCAGAUGGUGGACACGUUGGCUGGAUCAGGUUGAGAGACCUUGUCAGAAUUCCCCCACGCCUCGAGGCACCCCCAGCUGUUCUGCGGAGGGGAUGCAGAUGCUGAGCUCUCCUCCUCCCAGGGGCUGUUGGCUCUGCAGUGAAGGGACCUGGCAGGAGCUGCGUUCAGCUGCUGGCGUGGCAGUGAUGGAGCCAGCAAGAGGAGCCAAGAAGGGCGCACACCUCCACGUGGGGGAUUUUCAGCAGCCCCAGGUGGGGCUGCAGUGUGAGAAGGAAGGGAAGCUGCGUGCAUCAUUGCCACUCUUUGCAUCCGAUACCCAAACACAGCACGGGGAAAUGACAGCAAUAUGUGCUCCCCUGACACCCAGAGAACAUAGCGAUAUUGCUGUGAAAAUGAGGCUCAACUCUGAACCCUUCCCUCUGCGAGGGAGCUAUGAUUAGAAUCUCAUCUCGCCCCGUAUUGCGCAGCACCUGCAGAGGAAAAUCCCACCCAGCAGCACAGAACUAUUUUUAAAGGCCUGUUUCUGUCGGGCUGGGAGAUAGGGCUGGUGAGAAUCCUGCUGGUGCCACGGAUUGCUUUCAAACCCCAUGUAGGAAUGGAGCUAGACUUGGGGAAUGUGGCUUAAAAAGGAAGCGUUGGGAUUGUUUUGCCAAGGCUGAAUCUUGUGCCAGCUCUCCGCCUGCAGAGCUGAAUUUCAACAACUUGUGUGUCUUUUUUUGGGUUCACUGUGCUGAAGUCGGUGAGAUGCCUCCAGCUGUAGAAAACUCAUGUGCAGGAAGAAGAAGGAUGCCACAGAAGGCAGCGAGGCUGAAAGAGCUGAGCCCUGGGGAUGUGAGAUGUGGUGAUCUUGAAUUUGGGGUGCUUUGUAGGUGAAUGAAGUCUAUCACCAAGCCCUGGCAGCACCUGGCAAUGGAGAGGGGACAUGCAUAGGCAGUCAGAAUCAAAGCUCUGCUCUCCUCUUGAUAUGCUGCUCAUGGAUAGCGCUUCAUGCUGUUCAAACAUAAUUCUCUCCUUUUCUGAAUGCAACUAGAGAAGUGGAUUACAUUUGUCUUAAUAAAGCAGGUCGUCUCGCAAGCAGUGGGACAGGAAGCCUGGCUUCCUGUGGUGGGCUCCCAUGCGCGACCAUUGGUGUCAGCUAGAGUGGCUGAGCUUGUGUCACGGCCCAGGAGUGGGGUGGGAAGUAGAACAAUAACGGGAAGAAGUGUUAAUUUGGGUAUAUCUUUCCUUAUAAAGUCUGUUAGAACUUCAUUCCUUUGAGACCUGUAUUCUUCUGCCAGCCCUGAUGGCAGACCAGCAGGUUUAGAAAGCUGUUAUGCAAUGCCUGUGGGCCAGCUGGCCCAAUCACAUGAGCCUCGUUCCCCUGGGAAAUGGAAAAAAAUAAACAGAGCUGACCUGGAAUCUCUGCAAAUUCUUUGCCUUUAUAUCCCACAGCCUUUGACUCGCAUACCUGUGCUUUUUAUGGCUGGUAUUUGUCAGCAGGGCUCUGCAUCCAUGAUGGAGAUCAGCAGAGAACAGGUCCCACUUAGUGUAUACCAUUGACUGCGCAGUUUGCAGAUUGAACAUGCAGCAGUAAAUAGAUGUACCCAGCUACAAAACCACUUCCCAUUUUGUAUAAUACAGGCCAACAGAGAUUUGAAAAAUGUUCUGUUUCUGUAUAGAAAGACUAUUUUUAAAAUUGAACAGUAAGUUAGUCCUCUAUUGACUUUCAAUUUCCAUCCUCUUACAUUUCCAUAGCAACUCUGGCC
rnacentral:lncRNA from 1 species